rnacentral:rRNA from 1 species
UACGUAGGGGGCUAGCGUUGUCCGGAUUAUUGGGCGUAAAGAGCGUGUAGGCGGCCAGGUAGGUCCGCUGUGAAACUCGAGGCUCAACCUCGAGACGUCGGCGGAAACCCUCUGGCUAGAGUCCGGAAGAGGAGAGUGGAAUUCCUGGUGUAGCGGUGAAAUGCGCAGAUAUCAGGAAGAACACCCGUGGCGAAGGCGGCUCUCUGGGACGGUACUGACGCUGAGACGCGAAAGCGUGGGGAGCAAACAGG